rnacentral:lncRNA from 1 species
UCUCUGUCCUUCUCCAGCACUAGUCUUCAAUCUUUCCUGAAAAGUUAAACUUCUUUGCUUUUCUUUUUUCAGGGGUCAGAAGCACAUGUUCUCGUUGGUAUAACUUACUACAUCAGCAUUUUUCUUGAGUAAUUAUGGAAAGGAGCCACGGGUGUUGAAGAAGGCUUGAUUUCAGGCACAGACAGCUCAGGCUUGCUCCUGGCAGGAUGAAGCAGAUCCCAGAUGUGCUUUGGGGGCAUGUGGCUCGAGGUAGCUCCUGCUCUCCCACCAACAAGAGGCCCUGCUGACCCGAUCCUUUGUGACUGCCUGGACACAGUACUAUUACCCGCGCUGGGACUUUGCUUGCUCUCAAUAUACCCUCAGGAGUAUCUGCAGAUCUACAUAAAUGUGAGUACAGAACUGUGAGAGUAUUAUUAAUAGAACAGUUCACAGCUGAAUCUUAGAGUUAAGCCUUUCUGUUUCUGAACUGGCAUCCUGAUGUCUUAAAUUAGAAUACUGGUUUUGAAAGUUGUUUUCCAAGGUUUUUUUUAUGCCGGUAAGCCUUAGCAAGCUCUGGAGCACUGUUACCCAUAGUUCGUGGCAAUGCCAAAAGCAGCCUGAUAACAGAUGCUCAUCUGUUCUCUUCCAUGUAACUCCUAAUAAAUUUAAACC